UGUGUGUGUGUGUGUGUGUGUGUGUAUGUGUGUGUGUGUGUGUAUGUGAGAGAGAGAGACACUUAAUAGAACGAGUGAUUUUAUAUCACAGUGAGAAAUACGUCUGCAUUUAGAAUGCAGCUCACUUCAGAUCAUGCCAGUAAAGGACAAGCAUAGGAAAAAAAAAAGAGGACAGUGAAAGAAAGAAGAAAAAUGUGGAAAAUAAAUGGAGUGCUGACAUCUCAGAGUCAAGAGCUGGAAACACUGCAAGAGACAGAACACAGAUUAAUGUGCGGCUUUAUGAAGAUGGACUGAUGGAGGAGAUCAGAAACACUCGCAGACCUGAUCAACACUACAGAUCAAAUCUCUGACAUAUAUAUCAAUAUAUAUCAAUCAUAUGAAUAUGUAAUCAGAGUUUAAACUCGUGUGUUUUCUCUCUAGUUUCUGCAGCAGACGUUCAAGUCGCAAACAGGCGCGUGCACGUGAAUGAAGAGUUUCUCCAGCACAUGACACUCCUUUGAUUCUCAAUGAAUGGCGCCUCUGACCUUUCCAUUGAGAAAAAGCCACAGUAAGCUCUGCCCCCUGACACGAUUGGUCAGAACGAAGAGGCGCCGCCCACCUGAGCUCCCGCCUCUCUUUAAAGGGGUCGGACCGGCAACAUGUGACUCGAUUACAGCGUGGGAGUAAAAAGGGGAAAGAAGAACAGACCAGGACAGGAAUGAGGGGAAACCGGAGGAGAGGAACGAAAGAAAGAGAGAAAGGUGGAGAUAUAAUGAAGGGAGAUGAGAGGUUUCUGCUGGACGAAUCACUGCUACCUGACAGACGUCAACACUCCAGACAGGAUUCAUUGGGAAAGAAGAGAAAGAACAUGUGAAGUGGAAAACAGCAGGUUUACAAACAGGUAUCUCACGUCAGGCUUGAUUGUGCAAUUGUUUGCCGACUCAAGAUAGCCAACGAGGAACAGGUUUGGGUUCAGACGAGAAAGAGUGAAAGAGAAAAGAUGGGAAGAAAAGAAACGAGAGCGAAGUGAGGAACAGAAAAAAGGCUGUUUUACUGUCAUCUUGACAGACGAGAAAGAGCAUCCGACACCUUCAACACACACAGAGCGCCGGGCCAUUAGAAGACGUUAUGAAAUAUCAGCUUCCACAGCAGACGUUCACCUGAAGGAUCUCUGCCAUCAUCUGUCGCUCAUUCUUCAGCAGUCCCAUAAAGCUCAGGAGCAGAUCUGACGUGAAUUGGUACGUCCUGCAGUCAGACAUACUAAACUCUUCAAUCUAGAAACUAUUUUAAAUUAGCAACUAAUUCUCGUGUAAUAAAUGUGUUCAUUUUAAUUGAGGGAUACCCAAAAUAUUUGGACUCUUCAGCAAAUGGCAAAAUAUGAGAAACCGUCUAAGAAUUGGGCAACCAGUUACAGCAGCUAAAAGAAACAUCUUCCUAAUAUGUUCAUCUGAGCUCGAUCUUUCAGAGACUGUAAGCAGCGAGAGUCUGAGACGUUGCCAUUGUGUUUGUCCUUGUUCUCUGUGUAAUGGCGGGUGAGUGAACGAGAGCAAGAGCAUGUGGGUGAAGGGUAACGCAUGCUUUUAUGAAUGGGCUGCUGGGAGGAGCGCUCUGAUUGGUCAGAUCCAUGUCUCUGUCUAUAGUGAAAUACGACACCACAGCACAACACACCGCCUUACAAUGUGACACAACCGUUUCCCACUGCUGCUUUUAUCAGCAGUUAAAACACAGCUGUAAGAUCAGGGAUGUGCUGAAAGAGAAGGCUAUUCAUGAAACAUAGUCAGGUCUCGAUUCCUGUUCGUCCAGCAAAUGAUAUCUGCACACAAGGGUCAGUCAACAACAGCAGCGGUCACAUGCCGACUGAAGAAAGAGAGAUUGUACCCUCCUUCACCUAAAGCUUAAAGGGGUCAUAUGAUGCUAUUUCAAGGUUUCCUUUGUCUUUGGAGUGUUACAAGCUCUUGGUGCAUAAAGAAGAUCUGUAAAGUUGCAAAGACUAAAGUCUCAAACCCAGAGAGAU